GGGUCCGUGCUCAUCCAUAUAGAAAUUGCAUGGGGUGCAAGGGGUCGGAGGUUCGAAUCCUCCCGUCCCGACCA
rnacentral:tRNA from 1 species